rnacentral:rRNA from 2 species
UCAAGCUACUAAGGGCAUACGGUGGAUGCCUAGGCGCCAAGAGCCGAAGAAGGACGCGGUAAGCUGCGAAAAGCCACGGGGAACUGCAAGCAAGUAUUGAUCCGUGGAUAUCCGAAUGGGGAAACCCGGCCAUCGUCAUGGAUGGUCACCCGCAAGGGAGGGAACCUGGGGAACUGAAACAUCUAAGUACCCGGAGGAAGAGAAAUCAAACGAGAUGCCCACAGUAGCGGCGAGCGAAGAGGGCAGAGCCCAAACCGAGAAGCUCCGGCUUUUCGGGGUUGAGGACCGGCAGAAUCGAAGUCAGGCCUAGUUGAAUUACCUGGAAAGGUAAGCGAGAGAGGGUAAAAGCCCCGUAGACGAAAGGCAGAGCAGAGAGGCCGAGAUCCAGAGUACCACGAAGCACGAGGAAUUUUGUGGGAAGCAGGGGGGACCACCCUCCAAGGCUAAAAACUACUUGGCGACCGAUAGCGCAUAGUACCGUGAGGGAAAGGUGAAAAGAACCCCGGGAGGGGAGUGAAAUAGUACCUGAAACCGUAUGUCUACAAGCAGUCGAAGCGAAAGCGACGGCGUGCCUAUUGAAGAAUGAACCAACGAGUUAUCUGCACUAGCGAGGUUAAGUGGAAGACACGGAGCCGCAGCGAAAGCGAGUCUUAAGAGGGCGCUAGUUAGUGUAGGUAGACCCGAAACCGCAGUGAUCUACCCAUGUCCAGGUUGAAGCGCAGGUAAAAUUGCGUGGAGGACCGAACCGGUGAGCGUUGAAAAGCUUUCGGAUGAGAUGUGGGUAGGGGUGAAAUUCCAAUCGAACGCGGAGAUAGCUGGUUCUCCCCGAAAUAGCUUUAGGGCUAGCCUGAGGUAGUAAGUAUAGGCGGUAGAGCACUGAUCGGGCUAGGGGCCGUAAAGGUUACCGAACCCUGUCAAACUCCGAAUGGAUAUACUGUAGAGCCUUGGAGUCAGACUACGAGUGAUAAGAUCCGUGGUCAAAAGGGAAACAGCCCAGACCACCAGCUAAGGUCCCCAAUGUCGUACUAAGUGGAAAAGGAUGUGGGGUUUCAUAAACAACCAGGAUGUUGGCUCAGAAGCAGCCACCAUUUAAAGAGUGCGUAAUAGCUCACUGGUCGAGAGACCCUGCGCCGAAGAUUCCCGGGGCUAAAGUACGAAACCGAAGCUGUGGCUGUAUACGUAAAGUAUACGGGGUAGGGGAGCGUUCCCAUAGGGUAGAAGUCGAACUGGAAGGUUCGGUGGACUUGUGGGAAGUGAGAAUGUUGGUAUGAGUAGCGAAAAGAAAGGUGAGAAUCCUUUCCACCGAAAGCAUAAGGAUUCCUGAGCAACGAUCGUCGUCUCAGGGUAAGUCGGGACCUAAUCCGAGGCAGAGAGCGUAGGAGAUGGACAACUGGUUGAUAUUCCAGUACCGGUAGUAAUUGUUUGAGCAAUGGAGUGACACAGAAGGGCAGGCAAGCAUGCGAAUGGAAGAGCAUGUGUAAGCGUGUAGGGUGGUGCAUAGGCAAAUCCGUGCACUGAAAGCCUGAGGCGUGAUGCGGAGUGAGCAGAGAUGCGAGCGAAGUUGUUGACCCCACACUGUCGAGAAAAGCUUCUAGUGAGAGAGCUACCGCCCGUACCGUAAACCGACACAGGUAUGCGGGGAGAGAAUCCUAAGGUGCGCGGGAGAACCCUCGUUAAGGAACUCGGCAAAAUGUACCCGUAACUUCGGGAUAAGGGUAGCCACUGUUGUGAAGUCCCAUGCGGAUGGAGCAUAGAGUGGUCGCAGAGAAGAGGCCCAAGCGACUGUUUACCAUAAACACAGGUGCCUGCUAAAGCGAAAGCUGACGUAUAGGUGCUGACACCUGCCCAGUGCCGGAAGGUUAAGGAAGGAUGUUCGGAGUAAUCCAAAGCAUUCGACUGAAGCCCCGGUGAACGGCGGCCGUAACUAUAACGGUCCUAAGGUAGCGAAAUUCCUUGUCGGGUAAG